UACGUAGGGCGCAAGCGUUGUCCGGAAUUAUUGGGCGUAAAGAGCUCGUAGGCGGCUUGUCACGUCGGGCGUGAAAGCCCGGGGCUUAACCCCGGGUCUGCAUUCGAUACGGGCAGGCUAGAGUGUGGUAGGGGAGAUCGGAAUUCCUGGUGUAGCGGUGAAAUGCGCAGAUAUCAGGAGGAACACCGGUGGCGAAGGCGGAGCUCGGGGCCAUGACUGACGCUGAGGAGCGAAAGCGUGGGGAGCGAACAGG
rnacentral:rRNA from 1 species